UGAAGUUCAGAUUUUUUGUUUGUGAAAUGAAACAUAUACAACUUAAUUGUAAAUCCAUAAGAAAGAAGAAAAACCUUACAAACAUUUUGAUCAACAGUCAAAAUGUCCCCACCUCGCAGAAAAUGGGGAUGAUAUAUCUUCCUAUACGUAUGAAGUAAGAAGGGCCUGUAUUAACUACUCCAAUAAUGUCACCCUCUGGUUUAAUAUUCAAUACAGUAACAACAUUAUUUAUCAAACUAAAAAAGAUGAACAAAUAACCAUUUAAACAAGCGAUUGAGCAUCACAAAACACCACACAUAAAUAAGAGAUUGGGCAUCACAAACACAAAACAUAAAGAAGAGAUUUGGCAUUACAAAACACCAAAUAAAAAACAAGAGAUUGGGCAUUACAUAUCACCAAACAUAAAACAAGCGAUUGAGUAUCACAAAACACCUAACAAGAGAUUGGGCAUCCCAAAUCACCAAACACAAAUCAAGAGAUUGAUCAUUACAAUUCAUUAAACAUAUAAAAUAAAACAAGAGAUUGACCAUCACAAAACACUAACCUUAAACAAUGGAUUGGGUAUCACAAAUCACCAACCAUAAAAUAAAAGAUUGGGUAUCACAAAACACCAAACAUAAAACAAGAGAUUGAACAUUACAAAACAUCAAACAUAAACCAAGCGAUUGAGCAUCACAAAUCACCAAACAUAAAACAGGAUGUUGAGCAUCACAAAUAACUAAACACAAAACAAGCGAUUGAGCAUCACCAAACACCAUACAUAAAACAAGAGAUUGAGCAUUACAAAACACCAACAUAAAAACAAGAGAUUGAGCAUUACAAAUCACCAAAC
rnacentral:lncRNA from 1 species